rnacentral:rRNA from 1 species
UACGUAGGGCGCAAGCGUUUGUCCGGAAUUAUUGGGCGUAAAGAGCUCGUAGGCGGUUUGUUGCGUCGGCUGUGAAAUCCCGAGGCUCAACCUCGGGUCUGCAGUCGAUACGAGCAAACUAGAGUGUUGCAGGGGAGACUGGAAUUCCUGGUGUAGCGGUGAAAUGCGCAGAUAUCAGGAGGAACACCGGUGGCGAAGGCGGGGUCUCUGGGCAACAACUGACGCUGAGGAGCGAAAGCGUGGGGAGCGAACAGG